AGGAGGGCUGUAUUUAUUAGAUAACAGACCAAUAUUCUUCGUGUCUAUUGUGGUGAAUCAUAGUAACUGAUCGGAUCGCAUGGGCUUGCCCGCGACAAACCAUUCAAGUUUCUGCCCCAUCAGCUUUCGAUGGUAGUGUAUUGGACUACCAUGGCUUUCACGGGUAACGGAGGAUUAGGGUUCGAUUCCGGAGAGGGAGCCUGAGAAACGGCUACCACUUCUAAGGAAGGCAGCAGGCGCGUAAAUUACCCAAUGCUAAUUCAGCGAGGUAGUG
rnacentral:rRNA from 1 species